GUCCACGCCCUAAACGAUGUCGACUGGUUGUUGGGGGUUUGACACUCUCAGUAACGAAGCUAACGCGUGAAGUCGACCGCCUGGGGAGUACGGCCGCAAGGUUAAAACUCAAAGGAAUUGACGGGGACCCGCACAAGCGGUGGAUUAUGUGGAUUAAUUCGAUGCAACGCGAAAACCUUACCUACCCUUGACAUGUCCGAGAGCCUGCUGAAAGGCGGGUGUGCCCCGAAAGGGAAUCGGAACACAGGUGCUGCAUGGCUGUCGU
rnacentral:rRNA from 1 species